CCUUCUUUUUCUCUCUUUCCUCUUCCUUCCUUUUCUUCCCUCUUUCUCCUUCUUUUUUUUCCUCCCUCUUUUCCCUCCCCUUUCUCCCCCUUUUCCUUUCCUUUGGGACUGCUAGGCUGGAGUGUGGCAGAGGGGACUAGAAUUCCUGGUGUAGCAGUGAAAUGCGUAGAUAUCAGGAGGAAUACCGAUGGCGAAGGCAGGUCCCUGGGUUAACACUGACGCUCAUGCACGAAAGCGUGGGGAGCAAACAG
rnacentral:rRNA from 1 species